GGAAGGAUCAUUCACACCUGCUGCAAUAGCUAUUGCAUUUGCAUUGCUUUGCGCGGAUUUCGAUCCAUCCACCACGGGAACUUAAGCGUAACGAUGAGUAAAAUCGUCGUUAAGGCUUAUCAUACCUUUGAUGUCGGUACACCUGUGACUUUAUGCGAAAGCGUUUAAUUGCAGCGACUUAUAAAAGUGUACAUGAUAGUUUCUUUGAGAAAUCAAUCUUAAAAACAGACCCUUAGCGGUGGAUACCUCGGCUCGUGAAUCGAUGAAGGACGCAGCAAAGUGCGAUAAGCACUGUGACUUGCAGAAUUCUGUGAAUCAGUAGAACUCUGAACGCAUUAUGCGCAAUGUGACUUGUCACAUUGCAGGCCUGCAUCAGCGUCGUUUAAAACCCCCUAACUAAGCAAUUUUAAUUGUGGCUGUUAGGUGUCCAAGCAAUUGGGGAUUUGUGAGUCAGCUUAAACGUUUGCUCAUUAAUUUUAUAGGUGUUUUUUACGCUGUGAUUCUUAAUUGAGUCAAUUUGCCUAGAGUUCCUAACAUUAUUGUUGGAAUUCCAUGGUUCAAACUAAUUUAUUAGAUUGCUAUGGUAUACUGACAUUAGAGUUAAGAACACCACUAGGUAAGAUCUUUCAACUUAAGACCUGAUGUAGACCAGAGUACCCGCUGAAUUUAAGCAUAUUAGUAAGCGGAGGAAAAGAAACUAACUAGGAUUUCCUUAGUAACGGCGAGUGAACAGGAAUCAGCCCAAUGCCAAAUUGCUAGCUUGCUAGCAACGUGUGGCUUCGGUAGUAUACCAGUAACAGAUCUAGGUUAAGUCUCCUGGAAAGGGGCGUCACAGAGGGUGAUAAUCCCGUAAGUGCUUAGAAUUCUGUUACGUACGGUUGCUGCUAUAACGAGUCGCGUUCCUUGGGAAAGGAGCGUAAAUGGGAGGUAAAUUCCUUCCAAGGCUAAAUAUAGACACGAGACCGAUAGCAAACAAGUACCAUGAGGGAAAGGUGAAAAGAACUUUGAAAAGAGGGUUAAAAGUGCUUGAAACCGCUAAGGGGGAAGCGAAUGCCGCAGUUGUAUGUGCAGCAGUAUGGAUUACUUCUUGUGGGUCUGAGGGGUUCGCCUCGGCAGGCUUUGCAGUGGGUGCACCCAUAUUGUUGUAAGCAAUAUCAGCUUGUUGACGGAGUUUAAGUUUGGAUGGCGUGGCUCUGCUAAGGCGGAAUCAUUCUUUCAAGCCUAUACCGUUUGUGGGCUGAGGACAAUUAGUCCAGUUUCAAUAGAAGGCAAUAGCAGUAAUUAACUGUACCGUCGAUUUAUCGAAUUGCAUUAAUUAUUACUAUCUGUCUCUAAGUUCUGGCUAAGGGAUAUUGCUAUCAACGGUGGUAUUUGUCCCGUCUUGAAACACGGACCAAGGAGUCUAACGAUUGUGCGAGUAUGUGGAUGGUAAAUCCACAUGCGGAAUGAAAGUGAUCGUAACGAACCGCAAGGUGCAGUUAUGACCGACCUAGAACUACGGAGAUAGGUUUGAGUAUGAGCACAGCCGUUAGGACCCGAAAGAUGGUGAACUUUACCUGGGUAGGGUGAAGCCAGGGGAAACUCUGGUGGAGGCUCGUAGAGAUUCUGACGUGCAAAUCGAUCUUUCAAAUCUGGGUAAAGGGGCGAAAGACUAAUCGAACCAUCUAGUAGCUGGUUCCUCC
rnacentral:misc_RNA from 1 species